rnacentral:misc_RNA from 1 species
GGAAGUAAACGUCGUAACAAGGUUUCCGUAGGUGAACCUGCGGAAGGAUCAUUAUUGUAUAACCGAGGUGCGAGGGCUGUCGCUGACCCGAUAGGUCGUGCACGCCCGAGUGCCCUCACACACAUCCAUCUCACCCCUAUGUGCACCACCGCGUGGGUCCCCCUUUGGCUUGUUCGGAGGGGGGCUUACGUUUUCACACAAACUUUGUAUGCAGUGUAGAAUGUAUUUUUUGUUUUUGCGAUCACGCAAUCAAUACAACUUUCAACAACGGAUCUCUUGGUUCUC